rnacentral:rRNA from 1 species
GACGGAGGGUGCUAGCGUUGUUCGGAAUUACUGGCGUAAAGGGCGCGUAGGCGGCCCUGUCAGUCGGGUGUGAAAGCCCGGGCUCACCCCGGAACGGCACCCGAGACGGCAGGGCUGGAGACCGGGAGAGGAGGGUGGAAUAGCCAGUGUAGAGGUGAAAUUCGUAGAUAUUGGCUGGAACACCGGUGGCGAAAGCGGCUCUCUGGCCCGGUUCUGACGCUGAGGCGCGAAAGCGUGGGGAGCAAACAGG